GGCUGGUCCGAAGGUAGUGAGUUAUCUCAAUUGAUUGUUCACAGUCAGUUACAGAUUGAACUCCUAUUCUACACUUUCCCCCCUUCUCACUACUGCACUUGACUAGUCUUUA
rnacentral:Y_RNA from 1 species